rnacentral:rRNA from 1 species
GAUGAACGCUGGCGGCGUGCCUAAUACAUGCAAGUCGAGCGAACGGACGAGAAGCUUGCUUCUCUGAUGUUAGCGGCGGACGGGUGAGUAACACGUGGAUAACCUACCUAUAAGACUGGGAUAACUUCGGGAAACCGGAGCUAAUACCGGAUAAUAUUUUGAACCGCAUGGUUCAAAAGUGAAAGACGGUCUUGCUGUCACUUAUAGAUGGAUCCGCGCUGCAUUAGCUAGUUGGUAAGGUAACGGCUUACCGAGGCAACGAUGCAUAGCCGACCUGAGAGGGUGAUCGGCCACACUGGAACUGAGACACGGUCCAGACUCCUACGGGAGGCAGCAGUAGGGAAUCUUCCGCAAUAGGCGAAAGCCUGACGGAGCAACGCCGCGUGAGUGAUGAAGGUCUUCGGAUCGUAAAACUCUGUUAUUAGGGAAGAACAUAUGUGUAAGUAACUGUGCACAUCUUGACGGUACCUAAUCAGAAAGCCACGGCUAACUACGUG